rnacentral:ncRNA from 1 species
UUUACGGAGAGUUUGAUCCUGGCUCAGGACGAACGCUGGCGGCGUGCUUAACACAUGCAAGUCGAACGAUGAAGCCCAGCUUGCUGGGUGGAUUAGUGGCGAAC